rnacentral:SRP_RNA from 1 species
GCUGGGCGCAGUGGCACAUGCCUGUAGUUCCAGCUACUCGGGAGGCUGAGGUGGGAGGAUCGCUUGAGCCCAGGAGUUCUGGGCUGUAGUGCGCUAUGCCAAUUGGGUGUCCGCACUAAGUUCGGCAUCAAUAUGGUGACCUCCCAGGGAGCAGGGGACCACCAGGUUGCCGAAGGAGGGGUGAACUGGCCCAGGUCAGAAACAGAGCAGGUCAAAACUCCCGUGCUGAUCAGAGGUGAGAUCGCGCCUGUGAAUAGCCACUGCACUCCAGCCUUGGCAACAUAGCGAGACUGCGUCUCA